rnacentral:rRNA from 1 species
UGGUCAAGUUAUUAAGGGUGCAGGGCGGAUGCCUUGGCACUAGGAGCCGAUGAAGGACGUGAUAAGCUGCGAUAAGCUUCGGGGAGUUGCACGUAAACUUUGAUCCGAAGAUUUCCGAAUGAGGAAACUCACUUAGAGUAAUGUCUAAGUAUCAUUAAGUGAAUACAUAGCUUAAUGAGGGGAACUCAGGGAACUGAAACAUCUAAGUACCUGAAGGAAGAGAAAGAAAUUCGAUUCCGUAAGUAGCGGCGAGCGAACGCGGAUUAGCCCAAACCAAUAAAGUUUUCUUUAUUGGGGUUGCGGACAUAUCAUAACGGAGAGGUAUCGUAAUUGAAGAGGUUUGGAAAGACCCACCACAGAAGGUAAUAGUCCUGUAUGUUAAACGAGAAGACUUUAGAUAUGAUCCAGAGUACCACGGGACACGUGAAACCCUGUGGGAAGCAGGAGGGACCACCCUCCAAGGCUAAAUACUACCUAGUGACCGAUAGCGUAUAGUACCGUGAGGGAAAGGUGAAAAGAACCCCGGGAGGGGAGUGAAAUAGAACCUGAAACCCUGCACUUACAAGCUGUGGAAGCACAUUUCUUGUGUGACCGCGUACUUUUUGUAGAACGGGCCAACGAGUUACGUUAAGUAGCAAGGUUAAGCACUUAAGGUGUGGAGCCGUAGCGAAAGCGAGUUUUAACUGAGCGUUCAGUUACUUGACGUAGACCCGAAACCGGGCGACCUACCCAUGAGCAGGAUGAAGCGAAAGUAAAAUUUCGUGGAGGUCCGAACCCACGAGCGUUGAAAAGCUCGGGGAUGACUUGUGGGUAGCGGUGAAAUUCCAAUCGAGCCCGGAGAUAGCUGGUUCUCCCCGAAAUAGCUUUAGGGCUAGCCUCAAGGUGAGAGAUACGGAGGUAGAGCACUGAAUGUCCUAGGGGGUAUUGCACCUACCGAAGACUAUCAAACUCCGAAUGCCGUCAUCUUAUACUUGGGAGUCAGACUGUGGGUGAUAAGAUUCAUAGUCGAAAGGGCAACAGCCCAGAUCGUCAGCUAAGGUCCCUAAAUGUAAGUUAAGUGGUAAAGGAUGUGGGAUUGCACAGACAACCAGGAUGUUGGCUUAGAAGCAGCCACUCAUUCAAAGAGUGCGUAAUAGCUCACUGGUCGAGUGAUCCUGCGCCGAAGAUUUCCGGGGCUAAAACUUACUACCGAAGCUACGGCAUCAGUAAUGAUGGUAGGGGAGCUUCCCAUACGGGUUGAAGCAUGACCGUAAGGACAUGUGGACAGUAUGGGAGUGAGAAUGUUGGCAUGAGUAGCGAGAUGUGGGUGAGAAUCCCACAGGCCGUAAACCCAAGGUUUCCAGGGGGAAGGUUCGUCCGCCCUGGGUUAGUCGGGACCUAAGCUGAGGCCGAAAGGCGUAGGUGAUGGACAACAGGUUGAUAUUCCUGUACUACCGAUAACCGUUUGAGAGAAGGGAUGACACAGUAGGAUAAGCUAAGCACACUGUUGGUUAUGUGUGCCCAAGCAUUGAGGCAGUCAAAGUAGGCAAAUCCGCUUUGAUAAUGCUGGGAUGUGAUGGGGAGCGAAAUUUAGUAGCGAAGUAGCUGAUUUCACACUGUCAAGAAAAGUCUCUAUCGAGGUUAAAGGUACCCGUACCGCAAACCGACACAGGUGGGUGAGGAGAGUAUCCUAAGGCCAGCGAGAGAACUGUUGUUAAGGAACUCGGCAAAAUGACCCCGUAACUUAGGGAUAAGGGGUGCCACCAUCAGGUGGCCGCAGAGAAUAGGCCCAAGCGACUGUUUACCAAAAACAUAGGUUUCUGCUAAGUCGCAAGACGAUGUAUAGGAGCUGACGCCUGCCCGGUGCUGGAAGGUUAAGGGGAUCUGUUAGAGCAAUCGAAGCAGUGAACUUAAGCCCCAGUAAACGGCGGCCGUAACUAUAACGGUCCUAAGGUAGCGAAAUUCCUUGUCGGGUAAGUUCCGACCCGCACGAAAGGCGUAACGAUUUGGGCACUGUCUCAACAACAGACUCGGUGAAAUUGUAAUUCCGGUGAAGAUGCCGGAUACCUGCGACAGGACGGAAAGACCCCAUGGAGCUUUACUGUAGCUUGACAUUGGGUCUUGGUACUACAUGUACAGGAUAGGUGGGAGGCUUUGAAACCAGGACGCCAGUUUUGGCGGAGCCAUCCUUGGGAUACCACCCUUGUAGUACUGGGACUCUAACCAUAGGCCAUGAAUCUGGUCUUGGGACACUGUCAGGUGGGCAGUUUGACUGGGGCGGUCGCCUCCCAAAAGGUAACGGAGGCGCUCAAAGGUUCUCUCAGUACGGUCGGAAAUCGUACGUAGAGUGUAAAGGCAAAAGAGAGCUUGAUUGCAAGACAUACAGGUCGAGCAAGGAUGAAAAUCGGACUUAGUGAUCCGGUGGUUCUGCGUGGAAGGGCCAUCGCUCAACGGAUAAAAGCUACCCUGGGGAUAACAGGCUUAUCUCCCCCAAGAGUCCACAUCGACGGGGAGGUUUGGCACCUCGAUGUCGGCUCAUCACAUCCUGGGGCUGUAGUAGGUCCCAAGGGUUGGGCUGUUCGCCCAUUAAAGUGGUACGCGAGCUGGGUUCAGAACGUCGUGAGACAGUUCGGUCCCUAUCCGUCGCAGGCGUAGGAAAUUUGAGAAGACCUGUCCUUAGUACGAGAGGACCGGGAUGGACGUACCUCUGGUGUACCAGUUGUCCUGCCAAGGGCAUGGCUGGGUAGCUAUGUACGGAAUGGAUAAGCGCUGAAAGCAUCUAAGCGCGAAGCCAACUUCAAGAUAAGAUUUCCCACCGCAAGGGUAAGACCCCAGAAAGACUAUCUGGUUGAUAGGUCGAAGGUGUAAGUGCAGCAAUGUAUUUAGCUUAUCGAUACUAAUAGGUCGAGGACUUGACCAAU